rnacentral:rRNA from 1 species
UACGUAGGGUGCGAGCGUUAAUCGGAAUUACUGGGCGUAAAGCGUGCGCAGGCGGUUUUGUAAGCCAGAUGUGAAAUCCCCGGGCUUAACCUGGGAAUGGCAUUUGGGACUGCAAGGCUUGAGUGCGGCAGAGGAGACUGGAAUUCCUGGUGUAGCAGUGAAAUGCGUAGAUAUCAGGAGGAACACCGGUGGCGAAGGUGGGUCUCUGGGCCGAUACUGACGCUGAGGAGCGAAAGCGUGGGGAGCAAACAGG